rnacentral:rRNA from 1 species
GUCAAAGCGUUCAUUAAAGUCGAGUUGGCUUAGGGAUACGUUCGUUGGGUAGGGGAGCGUUCUGUAAGCCUGUGAAGGUGUGUCGUGAGGCAUGCUGGAGGUAUCAGAAGUGCGAAUGCUGACAUAAGUAACGAUAAAGCGGGUGAAAAGCCCGCUCGCCGGAAGACCAAGGGUUCCUGUCCAACGUUAAUCGGGGCAGGGUGAGUCGACCCCUAAGGCGAGGCCGAAAGGCGUAGUCGAUGGGAAACGGGUUAAUAUUCCCGUACUUGGUGUUACUGCGAAGGGGGGACGGAGAAGGCUAUGUUGGCCGGGCGACGGUUGUCCCGGUUUAAGCGUGUAGGUGUGUGUUCCAGGUAAAUCCGGUUCACUUUAACACUGAGGCGUGACGACGAGGCACUACGGUGCUGAAGCAACAAAUGCCCUGCUUCCAGGAAAAGCCUCUAAGCAUCAGGUAACACGAAAUC